GUAAAUCUGACUUUGGAUGAAACACUUGAUAUCAAAAUACCACAACUUUUAUUUUUGAUCUCUGUAGCACCUCAAAUUUGCACCUUUCAUUGUACAUACAUUCUCAUAUUAGGUCAUAGCAUUAACAUGGUCCACUGCAUAACAUUGCAUUGUCCCUUUUGCCCAAGUGCAAGCCAUUCAGUCAGAUUAGGUCAAAUUGAU
rnacentral:lncRNA from 1 species